CUUUGUUUUAUCAUGAGAAUACAUACUCUCCUGCCCUUAAAGAUUUGAACUUCUGGGAGGAUGAGCCAUAUUGUUUCUGAGACUCUGAGUAGAACCUCCAUGGAGCACAUCUGAGCACACCUGGUGUAUAUACAGCAUGUUUUGAGAAACAUGAUUAGCAAAGCUCAUGGCGCCAGGUGGAAGCAGUGCAAAGAGGCCGCUCCAUUCGCCGGGAAGUGUGUAAGUGCUCAGCACCGAGGAGCUCUGCUUUCCAAGAGAAGAGACUGUGAGUGAGCUGUCUGCAGAUCCCUUACACUUCGCCAGUUGACUUGACAUUCGCCGCUGUACGUGGGCUGGAGCUGGCACGCGGCAAUGCCAGCGUUUCCUCUGCUGCUAGCAUAUUGAAGUGGAAGCCAGAAGUUUGGGAUAAGGCUUAAUCACAGGUCUUUCCCCUUAUCCAGCAUAUUAAACAAUGAACAUAAUAGCAAUGAACAAUGACCACAAUAAAGAAUCCAUUAAGAAAUUAGGCCUGGACAGAUGGAUGGAUGUCAAAAUACCAGCUCAGUUUUAGUUCCAGGAAGCUGACUGGAGAAUGUGCGUUGGCUGAUGCCGAAGCCCGAGUUCAACCAACUCUUCAGCAUUUCCUGCUCUGCCACUGCAAGGCCAGAGCCUCUCUCCUGAACCGGCUCCUCAGGGGAAGCUAGAUUAUGGUGCGCGAGGCCUUGAGGCUCUUCAUUCGAAAGAGAAACCGGAGAGAUUGAGCAUCCUCACUUCCCUCCUUGCGACUCAGCAUUCAUUCAGCAUUUCCUCACUUGCAGAAGGGAGCGAAGGUGCGGGGAGAAGAUAAAAAUGAGAGGGUUGAGGAAUUAGCGUCCUGCUCUCAACUCUCCUGUCUGAGUUCGUGCUUCCCUUUAUGAGCUUUACAGCCACCCUUCUUUUCAUUCUGUCGGUCUUCUGAUAGGUAACGUCCUUGAGGGCAGCGUUGUUUGCCUUCCUUGCCAAUAUAGCCUUGGCACCUGGCACAGUGGUGGCGCUCAGGGGAUAUUUGCUGAAUAAAUACAUGUUUAC